rnacentral:tRNA from 1 species
UUUUGAACCUGUGACACGAGGAUUUUCAGUCCUCUGCUCUACCAGCUGAG